AACUUUGCGCAGUGGCGAUAUCGUAGCCUAUGAGGUUAAACCGAGGUGCGGUUAUUGCUGAUUGAAAACUUUUCCCAAUGCCCCGCCGUGGCGACUUGCAACACAGUCGGCGCUGGCAAUUUUUGAGCGUCUCUCCGGAGG